rnacentral:SRP_RNA from 1 species
UCGGAUUAUAAGUGUGAAGCUGCCCUUUUCAAGUGGUGUUGACGUCUGGGUCUUACGCAACGAAAAUCUACGAAUCGUGUCAGGUUGGGAACAAAGCAGCACUAAGAAGAAUCUUUUGUGUGCCGUAGGGGUGCCUGGACCGAGCAAACUAAAAAGGUAACGUUCAUGUGAUGACUUCAAAGCAGAAUGCACGG